rnacentral:rRNA from 1 species
GAUGAACGCUGGCGGCGUGCCUAAUACAUGCAAGUCGAGCGAAUGGAUUAAGAGCUUGCUCUUAUGAAGUUAGCGGCGGACGGGUGAGUAACACGUGGGUAACCUGCCCAUAAGACUGGGAUAACUCCGGGAAACCGGGGCUAAUACCGGAUAACAUUUUGAACCGCAUGGUUCGAAAUUGAAAGGCGGCUUCGGCUGUCACUUAUGGAUGGACCCGCGUCGCAUUAGCUAGUUGGUGGGGUAACGGCUCACCAAGGCAACGAUGCGUAGCCGACCUGAGAGGGUGAUCGGCCAAACUGGGACUGAGACACGGCCCAGACUCCUACGGGAGGCAGCAGUAGGGAAUCUUCCGCAAUGGACGAAAGGCUGACGGAGCAACGCCGCGUGAGUGAUGAAGGCUUUCGGGUCGUAAAACUCUGUUGUUAGGGAAGAACAAGUGCUAGUUGAAUAAGCUGGCACCUUGACGGUACCUAACCAGAAAGCCACGGCUUACUACGUGCCAGCAGCCGCGGUAA